rnacentral:rRNA from 1 species
UGCAAGUCGGACGGUAGCACAGGAGAGCUUGCUCUUUGGGUGACGAGUGGCGGACGGGUGAGUAAUGUCUGGGAAACUGCCCGAUGGAGGGGGAUAACUACUGGAAACGGUAGCUAAUACCGCAUAACGUCGCAAGACCAAAGUGGGGGACCUUCGGGCCUCACACCAUCGGAUGUGCCCAGAUGGGAUUAGCUAGUAGGCGGGGUAAUGGCCCACCUAGGCGACGAUCCCUAGCUGGUCUGAGAGGAUGACCAGCCACACUGGAACUGAGACACGGUCCAGACUCCUACGGGAGGCAGCAGUGGGGAAUAUUGCACAAUGGGCGCAAGCCUGAUGCAGCCAUGCCGCGUGUAUGAAGAAGGCCUUCGGGUUGUAAAGUACUUUCAGCGGGGAGGAAGGCGAUGCGGUUAAUAACCGCGUCGAUUGACGUUACCCGCAGAAGAAGCACCGGCUAACUCCGUGCCAGCAGCCGCGGUAAUACGGAGGGUGCAAGCGUUAAUCGGAAUUACUGGGCGUAAAGCGCACGCAGGCGGUCUGUUAAGUCAGAUGUGAAAUCCCCGGGCUCAACCCGGGAACUGCAUUUGAAACUGGCAGGCUUGAGUCUCGUAGAGGGGGGUAGAAUUCCAGGUGUAGCGGUGAAAUGCGUAGAGAUCUGGAGGAAUACCGGUGGCGAAGGCGGCCCCCUGGACGAAGACUGACGCUCAGGUGCGAAAGCGUGGGGAGCAAACAGGAUUAGAUACCCUGGUAGUCCACGCCGUAAACGAUGUCGACUUGGAGGUUGUGCCCUUGAGGCGUGGCUUCCGGAGCUAACGCGUUAAGUCGACCGCCUGGGGAGUACGGCCGCAAGGUUAAAACUCAAAUGAAUUGACGGGGGCCCGCACAAGCGGUGGAGCAUGUGGUUUAAUUCGAUGCAACGCGAAGAACCUUACCUACUCUUGACAUCCAGAGAACUUAGCAGAGAUGCUUUGGUGCCUUCGGGAACUCUGAGACAGGUGCUGCAUGGCUGUCGUCAGCUCGUGUUGUGAAAUGUUGGGUUAAGUCCCGCAACGAGCGCA